AUGAACGCUAGCUACAGGCUUAACACAUGCAAGUCGAGGGGCAGCAUGAUUGAAGCUUGCUUCAAUUGAUGGCGACCGGCGCACGGGUGAGUAACGCGUAUCCAACCUUCCGUACACUCAGGGAUAGCCUUUCGAAAGAAAGAUUAAUACCUGAUGGUAUGAUGAGAUUGCAUGAUAGCAUCAUUAAAGAUUUAUCGGUGUACGAUGGGGAUGCGUUCCAUUAGGUAGUAGGCGGGGUAACGGCCCACCUAGCCAACGAUGGAUAGGGGUUCUGAGAGGAAGGUCCCCCACAUUGGAACUGAGACACGGUCCAAACUCCUACGGGAGGCAGCAGUGAGGAAUAUUGGUCAAUGGACGAGAGUCUGAACCAGCCAAGUAGCGUGAAGGAUGAAGGUCCUACGGAUUGUAAACUUCUUUUAUAAGGGAAUAAAACCUCCCACGUGUGGGAGCUUGUAUGUACCUUAUGAAUAAGCAUCGGCUAACUCCGUGCCAGCAGCCGCGGUAAUACGGAGGAUGCGAGCGUUAUCCGGAUUUAUUGGGUUUAAAGGGAGCGCAGACGGGUCGUUAAGUCAGCUGUGAAAGUUUGGGGCUCAACCUUAAAAUUGCAGUUGAUACUGGCGUCCUUGAGUGCGGUUGAGGUGUGCGGAAUUCGUGGUGUAGCGGUGAAAUGCUUAGAUAUCACGAAGAACUCCGAUUGCGAAGGCAGCACACUAAGCCGUAACUGACGUUCAUGCUCGAAAGUGUGGGUAUCAAACAGGAUUAGAUACCCUGGUAGUCCACACGGUAAACGAUGGAUACUCGCUGUUGGCGAUAUACAGUCAGCGGCUUAGCGAAAGCGUUAAGUAUCCCACCUGGGGAGUACGCCGGCAACGGUGAAACUCAAAGGAAUUGACGGGGGCCCGCACAAGCGGUGGAGCAUGUGGUUUAAUUCGAAGCAACGCGAAGAACCUUACCAGGUCUUGACAUCCUCUGACAAUCCUAGAGAUAGGACGUCCCCUUCGGGGGCAGAGUGACAGGUGGUGCAUGGUUGUCGUCAGCUCGUGCCGUGAGGUGUCGGCUUAAGUGCCAUAACGAGCGCAACCCUCGCCGCCAGUUACUAACAGUUAAAGCUGAGGACUCUGGCGGGACUGCCAUCGUAAGAUGUGAGGAAGGUGGGGAUGACGUCAAAUCAGCACGGCCCUUACGUCCGGGGCUACACACGUGUUACAAUGGGCGGUACAGAAGGCAGCUACCUGGCGACAGGAUGCCAAUCCCUAAAGCCGCUCUCAGUUCGGACUGGAGUCUGCAACCCGACUCCACGAAGCUGGAUUCGCUAGUAAUCGCGCAUCAGCCACGGCGCGGUGAAUACGUUCCCGGGCCUUGUACACACCGCCCGUCAAGCCAUGAAAGCCGGGGGUACCUGAAGUGCGUAACCGCAAGGAGCGCCCUAGGGUAAAACCGGUAAUUGGGGCU
rnacentral:rRNA from 1 species